rnacentral:rRNA from 1 species
CAAAGAUUACGCCAUGCAAGUGAAAGUAUAUGCAUAUUUUAUAUGUAGAAACUGCGAACGGCUCAUUAAAACAGUUAUAAUCUACUUGACAUUUUUUCUAUAAGGAUAACUACGGAAAAGCUGUAGCUAAUACUUGCUUUAGCACUCUUGAUUCAUUUCUUGAGUGUGUACUUGUUAAGCCUUUUAAGAAAAAAGUUAUUAACUUAAGGAAUUAUAACAAAGAAGCGACACGUAAUGGAUCCGUCCAUUUUUAGUGUGUAUCAAUCGAGUUUCUGACCUAUCAGCUUUUGAUGUUAGGGUAUUGGCCUAACAUGGCUAUGACGGGUAACGGGGAAUUAGAGUUCGAUUCCGGAGAGGGAGCCUGAGAAAUAGCUACCACAUCUAAGGAAGGCAGCAGGCGCGUAAAUUACCCAAUUCUAAAGAAGAGAGGUAGUGACAAGAAAUAACAAUACAAGGCCAAUCUGGCUUUGUAAUUGGAAUGAUGGGAAUUUAAAACCUUCCCAAAACUCAAUUGGAGGGCAAGUCUGGUGCCAGCAGCCGCGGUAAUUCCAGCUCCAAUAGCGUAUAUUAAAAUUGUUGCAGUUAAAACGCUCGUAGUUGAAUUUCAAAGAAUCGACAUUUUAAGCAACGCUUCUAGCUUAAUCCACAUAACUGAUACUUCGUAUCGACUUUGUGCGCAUUUUGCUAUUAUGUGUUCUUUUAAUUAAAAUGAUUCUUUUUAAGGACUUUCUUUGCUUCGGCUUGGAAGUCCUUGUUACUUUGAGUAAAUUAGAGUGUUCAAAGCAAACAGAUAUAGCAUUGCGCGUUUGAAUACUACAGCAUGGAAUAACAAAAUUGAACAAGUCAGAAUUUUGUUCUUUUUUCUUAUUUUGGCUUAGUUACGAUUAAUAGGAGUAGCUUGGGGGCAUUUGUAUUCAGAUGUCAGAGGUGAAAUUCUUAGAUUUUCUGGAGACAAACAACUGCGAAAGCAUUUGCCUAAAAUACUUCCAUUAAUCAAGAACGAAAGUUAAGGGAGUGAAGACGAUCAGAUACCGUCGUAAUCUUAACCAUAAACUAUGCCGACUAGGCUUUGGAUGAAAGAUUUUAAAAUAAGAGUUUUCUCUUCGGAGUUUACUCUUAGAUUGCUUCCUUCAGUGCCUUAUGAGAAAUCAAAGUCUUUGGGUUCUGGGGCGAGUAUUCGCGCAAGCGAGAAAGUUAAAAGAAUUGACGGAAGGGCACCACCAGGCGUGGAGCUUGCGGCUUAAUUUGACUCAACACGGGAAAACUCACUAGUUUAAGACAAGAGUAGGAUUGACAGAUUAAUAGCUCUUUCUUGAUUUCUUGGAUGGUGAUGCAUGGCCGUUUUUAGUUCGUGAAUAUGAUUUGUCUGGUUAAUUCCGAUAACGAACGAGAUCUUAACCUGCUAAUUAGCGGCAAAUACGAUAUAUUCUUACGUGGGACUGAAUUCGGUUGAUUUGCUUACUUUGAAGAAAAUAUUGGGAUACGUAACAGUUUCCCUUUCCCUUUUCUACUUAGUUCGCUUUUCAUACUGUUUCUUUUUCGCGUAAGAAUGUAUUU